CAGCAGCCGCGGGAAAACGGAAGGUCCAGGCGUUAUCCGGAUUUAUUGGGCUUAAAGGGAGUGUAGGCGGUCUGUUAAGCGUGUUGUGAAAUUUAGGUGCUCAACAUUUAACUUGCAGCGCGAACUGGCGGACUUGAGUGCACGCAACGUAUGCGGAAUUCAUGGUGUAGCGGUGAAAUGCUUAGAUAUCAUGACGAACUCCGAUUGCGAAGGCAGCGUACGGGAGUGUUACUGACGCUUAAGCUCGAAGGUGCGGGUAUCGAACAGGAUUAGAUACCCCAGUAGUCCCUGUCUCUUAUAU
rnacentral:rRNA from 1 species